AUUGAACGCUGGCGGCAGGCCUAACACAUGCAAGUCGAACGAGUGGCGCACGGGUGAGUAAUGUCUGGGAAACUGCCCGCUGGAGGGGGAUAACUACUGGAAACGGUAGCUAAUACCGCAUACCAUCUGAUGUGCCCAGAUGGGAUUAGCUUGUGGGUGGGGUAACGGCUCACCUAGGCGACGCUCCCUAGCUGGUCUGAGAGGAUGACCAGCCACACUGGAACUGAGACACGGUCCAGACUCCUACGGGAGGCAGCAGUGGGGAAUAUUGCACAAGGGGCGCAAGCCUGAUCCAGCCAUACCGCGUGGGUGAAGAAGGCCUUCGGGUUGUAAAGUCCUUUUGUUGGGAAGGCGGUACCCAAAGAAUAAGCACCGGCUAACUCCGUGCCAGCAGCCGCGGUAAUUC
rnacentral:rRNA from 1 species